AGAAAUAGUGGGUAAUACCGGAUACGGUUACCGGGGCGGCAUGCCUGGUAAAGAAAGGAGCUAAGGCUCCGCCUUGAGAUGGGCCCGCGUCCCAUUAGCUAGUUGGUGAGGUAAGAGCCCACCAAGGCGAUGAUGGGUAGCCGGCCUGAGAGGGUGAACGGCCACAUUGGGACUGAGAUACGGCCCAAACUCCUACGGGAGGCAGCAGCUAAGAAUAUUCCGCAAUGGACGGAAGUCUGACGGAGCGGCGCCGCGUGGAUGAAGAAGGCCGAAAGGUUGUAAAAUUCUUUUACCGGCGAAGAAUAAGUACGGGAGGGAAUGCCCGUAUGAUGACGUUAGUUGGUGAAUAAGCCCCGGCUAAUUACGUGCCAGCAGCCGCGGUAACACGUAAGGGGCGAGCGUUGUUCGGAAUUAUUGGGCGUAAAGGGCGCGUAGGCGGUUAUGUAAGUCUGGUGUGAAAUGUCGGAGCUUAACUCCGGCCCUGCAUUAGAAACUGUGUAACUAGAGUCAUGGAGGGGUAGUUGGAAUUCCGAGUGUAGGGGUGAAAUCUGUAGAUAUUCGGAAGAACACCGGUGGCGAAGGCGAACUACUAGCCAAUGACUGACGCUGAGGCGCGAAAGUCGG
rnacentral:rRNA from 1 species